UACGUAGGGGGCAGGCGUUGUCCGGAUUUAUUGGGCGUAAAGAGCGUGUAGGCGGCUUGGUAGGUCUCGCGUCAAAACCUGAGGCUCAACCUCAGUUCGCGUGGGAAACCACCUAGCUAGAGUCCGGAAGAGGAGAACGGAAUUCCCAGUGUAGCGGUGAAAUGACGCAGAUAUCGGGAGGAACACCGGUGGCGAAGGCGGUUCUCUGGGCCUUACCUGACGCUGAGGAGCGAAAGCGUGGGGAGCGAACAGG
rnacentral:rRNA from 1 species